GGUAUGACUUUAAAGUGAGACGGAAGAAGAAGAAGCGCUUCCUGAGUGCCACACCACCGAGCCCGCGCUUUUUCUUCCGAAACGGAUCUGAUUUGGGGGAAAAGCACUCGUUCGUAAGAUUUUACAGACCCAAACGAGACGGCUGCCCCCCCCCGCUGGAGCAGCAAAAAGACAUGCUGGUUGAUGGUGAUCUGUCUAACAGAAGGUUCUCGGAAGAGGAGUCUGAGGACAGAGGAAAGAGCUUGUUAGGGGACGAGCUGUUUGAGCCACACUCAGACCAAAGUUUGGUCGAGAUUCUUCAUCAGCCACCAACACCUGCAAAUGACUGAUUAUCAGGAGGUAAGUCACCUCUUCCUUACAGACCCAACAAGCAACGACAAAUGUCAAAUGUCACAUGGGAGCCUAAAGUCCAAAAGAAACCUGGACUCAAACCUGGCUGGAAGAACAAAUUCCAACCAAUAGGGUGAGUAAAGUGUUUUUUUAGAGGGCUUUAUAGGCGGUGAAUCCUUAUUAGAUGCAUUGUUAGUGACGGCCAGCACGUUAUCACGAAUACACUUGUUACUACAUAGGUACAGCAUGUACAGGCUUUAGGAAUGUUGUUGAAGGUUUUUUAGAGGGCUUUGUAGGCAGAAUAGGUGAUUCCCUAUUCCUUGCAUUGUUACUGACUGCCUGCAUGGGAUCACAUAUCACACAUCAUACACCGUUAGAGCAUGACAGUAGAUAUAAAACAUUGUUGGAGGUUUUUGGAGCUUUCUUGGGAUGGCUUUAUUGCCAGAAGAGGUGAAUCCUUAUUACAUGCAUUGUUCGUGACGGCCAGCACGCUAUUCCGAAUGUACCUGUUACUUAUAGUUUCAGCAUGUA